rnacentral:rRNA from 1 species
GUGUCAGCCGCCGCGGUAAUACGGAGGGUGCGAGCGUUGUCCGGAAUCACUGGGCGUAAAGGGCGCGUAGGCGGCAGGCCAAGCGUGCGGUGAAAGUCCGGGGCUCAACCCCGGAUCGGCCGUGCGGACUGGUUUGCUAGAGCACUGUAGAGGCGAGUGGAAUUCCGGGUGUAGCGGUGGAAUGCGUAGAGAUCCGGAAGAACACCGGUGGCGAAGGCGGCUCGCUGGGCAGUGGCUGACGCUGAGGCGCGACAGCGUGGGGAGCAAACAGGAUUAGAUACCCUCGUAGUCC